AGAGGUUCCGUCUAGGUCCUGCUGCUCACCACGGAGAAAGCCAGUUACUGAGACAAUGAGUAUUGCCAAGAAAGAAGGCUUUAAUUGGGUGCUGCAGCCAAGGAGAUGGGAGAUCAGUCUCAAAUCAAUCUCCCUGACCCACUAAAACUAGGGGUUUUAAUCAGCAGGGAAGAAAUGUAACAAUGUGUAAGAAAACAGGAACCCAGGAGGCCUAAGGAAGCAAUCAUAAUGAAUGAGGGGUCUGGCAUCUAACUGUCUGGAAGUGGUGAUCUGGUGAAUUUUAGUUCUUUGCCACUUUUUUUGAGAGGUAUGAAGGUUGGUUGUUUUCUGAGAAAAGGACUCAGAUAAAACAAAUAUAAAUUUCAAACUUUAAGACCAGAAGGGUCAAUUUCUACAUUUGCAACAAAAGGUCUAUGAGAUAUUUGGAUAAUCUCCUCGUAUUAGUUCGUUUUCAUGCUGCUGAUAAAGACAUACCCAAGACUGGACAAUUUACAAAAGAAAGAGGCUUAUCGGACUUACAGUUCCACAUGGCUGGGGAGGCCUCACAGUAACGGCAGAAGAUGCUGAACAGAUGCCAGUGCAAUGCUUUUGGUACUUCUCAGUCUGCAGAACUGGAGUUGAAAACAAGGCUACAGUCCGCAAGUCAUGAUACCACGAUAAACAUUUUAAAAGAGGAAAAUUUAAGAAAAUCCCAGUGUAUUCACCUAUGAAGUGUAAAGUCAUGAACAACCUGAGAACAAUGCAACUAUGGCACACAUUUAGACGCUGUUACGAGUAACAACAAAAAAGAAAUUUGCAGCGUUUGAAAUUAUAUUCAGUGUAACUUUUUGUACUUAUAUACACUACUACUGUAUACAUUUAAAAAAUUAAUGUCAUUAAUUUCCUGUAAAAAGCGAUUAUUUUUAAUUGGGCUAGUUUGCCUGCCAGGAAAACUUUCAUGUACAUUUUGUUGAUUCAAAUCAAUAAAAAUCCAGGAAUAAUGUGAGCUAAUUAUGCUUUAAAAUGUGAAUAUAAUAUUUGUAUCAUAACAGGAGAUCAAUAAAUGAUUGUUGCCUCUGACCUCUCUUUUCCCACCCAACACACACACAGUUACAUUUCCUACUUGAGCUCUGGAGUCCAUUGCUGGAGACAAAUUCAAACUGCAGUGUUGCCACUUCUGGCGUGUAACUUGGAAGAAUUCAUGUAACUCUUUGCAUACCAAUUUCUUCAUUAUAAAAUAGAAGCAAUAACACUUUCUCCAUAAUGUUAUCGCGAACAUUAAAAGACAUAAUACAUAAAAAUGCCUAGUACAGUACCAGGCAAGUAGUAAGCGACAGAUGUUAACUAUAUUAUCAUUCUUUUUAUUAUUACAAUCGGUAUCUAAUAUGUCACACAACUUCCUUCUCAACUUUAUUUUGUGUUGCUCAUUAUUACUUUCAACUAAUAAAAUGUCUAUGUGGGCAUG